GCGGGCAUAGUUCAGUGGUAGAACAUCAGCUUCCCAAGCUGAGGGUCGCGGGUUCGANNGAAUCCCGUUGCCCGCUCCA
rnacentral:tRNA from 1 species